GGGCCGGGAGCGCGGCCUACGCGGCCCAAGGAGGAGGAGGGCGGUGAGAGGGCUACAGGCCUGGCGGUACAUUUCAGCAUCAAGACUAGAAAAAAAUAAAGAAUGGCUGUGGAGGAACUUCAAUCCAUUAUAAAGAGAUGUCAAAUCCUAGAAGAGCAAGACUUUAAAGAAGAAGACUUUGGCCUGUUUCAGUUAGCAGGCCAAAGAUGCUUAGAUGAAGGGCACAUAGAUCAACUAGUAGAAAUUAUUCAAAAUGAAAAGAAUAAGGUCAUCGUCAAGAACAUGGGCUGGAAUCUAGUUGGUCCUGUUGUUCGAUGCCUUUUAUGGAAUGAUAAGGAAGAUGAUAAAAGAAAGUAUUAUUUUCUGAUGCUUGAUGUACUGGUAAAGUUAUGUAAUCCAAAGGAAUUAUUGUUGGGUUUGCUUGAACUGAUUGAAGAGCCGUCUGGAAAACAGAUAUCCCAAAUUAUUCUUCUUUUACUUCAGCCAUUACAAACAGUGAUUCAGAAACUUCGUAAGAACAAGGCGUAUUCAGUCGGGCUAGCGCUGUCCACUCUGUGGAGUCAGCUCUCGCUGCUUCCUGUUCCGUGCUCGGAAGAACAAGUGCGAGCGGACGACCACGGCCUCUGUCGGUGCUGCAAGGCCCUGACAGAGUUUGCUCAGCCUUUUGUGGAGGAAGUCACUGCUGACAAGGAAAACUCAAUGGAAAAUGAAAAAUUAAAGGAUGAAUUACUGAAAUUUUGUUUCAAAAGCUUGAAAUGCCCUUUGCUGACAGCACAGUUCCCUGAGCCGUCUGAAGAAGCUGGAAACGAUCCUUUAAGGUGUUUUGCGUCUGAAAUAAUAGGUUUUUUAUCAGCAAUUGGAUACCCUUUCCCCAAAAUGAUUUUUAAUCAUGGAAGGAAAAAGAAGACUUGGGAUUAUCUUGAAUUUGAGGAAGAAGAGCACAAGCAGUUAUCAGACUCCCUGGCUUCUCUGGCAUACCUCGUGUUUGUGCAGGGCAUCAGCAUUGAUCAGCUUCCCAUGGUCUUAAGCCCAUCAUACCUUUUGCAAUUUAACAUGGGCCAUAUUCAAGUCCUUUUACAAAGAACAGAGGAGUCUGUUUUCUCCAAAGGAUUGGAUCUGUUGGAGAACGGUUUGUUGAGAUUAGAGGACAACAGUCUGCUUCACCAGUACUUAGAAAUCAAGAGUUUCCUUACUGUGCCUCAGGGCUUAGUCAAAAUAAUGACACUCUGCCCCACUGAGACACUGAGAAAAAAGGGUUUAGCUGUGCUUCAGUUGUAUAUUAACAAGUUGGAAUCACAAGGCAAAUAUACAUUAUUUAGGUGCUUACUGAAUACAAGUAAUCACUCAGGUGUGGAGGCCUUUAUUAUUCAAAAUAUCAAAAAUCAAAUUGAUGUGUCAUUAAAGAGAACACAUGACAACAAAUGGUUCACAGGACCACAGCUGAUUUCCCUUCUAGAUCUGGUGCUCCUUCUCCCAGAGGGUGCUGAAACAGAUCUACUGCAAAACUCAGAUAGGAUAAUGGCCUCAUUAAAUUUAUUGAGGUAUUUGGUUAUCAAAGAUAAUGAAAAUGACAAUCAAACUGGACUAUGGACAGAACUCGAAAAGAUUGAAAAGAAUUUCUUAAAGCCACUCCAUAUAGGACUUAAUAUGUCAAAAGCACAUUAUGAAGCAGAAAUUAAAAACAGCCAAGAAGUCCAGAAGUCUAAAGAUCUUUGUUCUGUAACUGUGGGUGGAGAAGAGAUCCCUAAUAUGCCUCCUGAAAUGCAGCUUAAGGUCCUACAUUCAGCUCUUUUCACAUUUGAUUUGAUUGAAAGUGUUCUGGCUCGAGUAGAAGAACUCAUUGAAAUGAAAACAAAAUCUACCCUCUGAAGAAAAUAAGAGAUAAAGUCAAAGUUCCAUCUCCUAAAUAAAAAUUACAGAUGCUGUCUAUGUAUGCUUUGGAGGUGACCUGGAAGAAGAUAUAAACAAGCAACAUUAUUUAGAGAAGUAAGGUGUUUCAAACAAGGUGUGGCAAACCAACAAGUAGAAUACUGUAAGAAUUGCUUCCGUGGAGAUCUCUUCCAAGUGUAACGCCUAACUCUGCCUAGGGAAGCUGGGAGCACACUUCACAGAGAAGGACAAGCAUGAAAAGAAAGUGGGUAACUGGAGAAAAGCAUUCUGUAAAAUAGUAUGUACUCUGACAGUUCAUGUCUCCUAAUAUUUAUACUUGAGAACUUGAAGAAAGCUUUAAGUAACCAAUAGGGUCAACACAACGCGUAUGUGGCCAAACGCUCUUUCAGCCCCAAAUGAGCCAUUCUGGUAGCUGCCACUGGAAGUAAACUGAGAAGACCCGAGAGGCUGGGUUCAGGCUUGGGAACGAGCUGCAUGUGGAAAUGACAACUUCUCUGAGGGGAACAAAAGUUGAGUAUUUUGUCAGUUCUACUGAAGAGGGUGUGCAUUCUGAAGUCAAGAACUAUAUAAAGUGUAUGAGUGUGGAAUCUGUGUAAUUUUGCUCAGAUGACUUACCUUAGCUAUAGUGCACAUAAGAUUAAUAGCAUUUAUUGUGUUGUGUACUGGAAGUAUCCGUAAGUUACUACCCAGGAAUCUGAAAAAUAAUUCAUAAGUUAAAUAGAUCAUAU